rnacentral:rRNA from 1 species
UGCGUUCUGAACUGNCAGGCUAGAGUGUGUCAGAGGGGGGUAGANUUCCACGUGUAGCAGUGAAAUGCGUAGAGAUGUGGAGGAAUACCGAUGGCGAAGGCAGCCCCCUGGGAUAACACUGACGUUCAUGCUCGAAAGCGUGGGUAGCAAACAGGAUUAGAUACCCUGGUAGUCCACGCCCUAAACGAUGUCAAUUAGCUGUUGGGCAACUUGAUUGCUUAGUAGCGUAGCUAACGCGUGAAAUUGACCGCCUGGGGAGUACGGUCGCAAGAUUAAAACUCAAAGGAAUUGACGGGGACCCGCACAAGCGGUGGAUGAUGUGGAUUAAUUCGAUGCAACGCGAAGAACCUUACCUGGUCUUGACAUGUACGGAAUCUUCCAGAGACGGGAGAGUGCCUUCGGGAACCGUAACACAGGUGCUGCAUGGCUGUCGUCAGCUCGUGUCGUGAGAUGUUGGGUUAAGUCCCGCAACGAGCGCAACCCUUGUCAUUAGUUGCCAUCAUUCAGUUGGGCACUCUAAUGAGACUGCCGGUGACAAACCGGAGGAAGGUGGGGAUGACGUCAAGUCCUCAUGGCCCUUAUGACCAGGGCUUCACACGUCAUACAAUGGUCGGUACAGAGGGUAGCCAAGCCGCGAGGUGGAGCCAAUCCCAGAAAACCGAUCGUAGUCCGGAUUGCACUCUGCAACUCGAGUGCAUGAAGUCGGAAUCGCUAGUAAUCGCAGGUCAGCAUACUGCGGUGAAUACGUUCCCGGGUCUUGUACACACCGCC